CCCCGCCACGAAGGUCAGCUCACCACGACUCAUUAUGCCUUGAGCAGAGUCCACUGAGAAGCCUGGAGCAAGGUAUCAUGGGAUAACGGCUGCCAAUUUGAGGAGCCGCCUGAAGAGUGAGAGGAAUGGCAGAUAGAGGAAUCCCAGCAGUGCUGAGGCAGAGAGCUCGUAGUGAGGACGACUAGCUACUAUUCUCAACUUUGUGUGGUGAUCUUUCUGGCACCCAGAGCUGCUGAGGCAUCAGCCAAAUGGAUGUUACACAGACGGGACGAGGAGAAGUCCAGAGGCUAUAAGACUCAGGCUGGAUCCCAGACUUGACCUCUACAAGAUCAUCAACAGACUACAUCAGCCAUCAUCUACCAUCCUCUAUCCAGCUCUCUCCACUCAAGGCAUAAACUGACCCUCUCCAUCUUCGGAGGAUAAAGAUUUCAAAGACUUCUAUUGGUUGACCUGUCUUGACAUAUUGCUUGUUUGUUUUUGAAGCGCUUUGAGAUUCUAUGAAACUUGAUAUAGAAAUGUAAUAAAUUACGAUUAUUUUUAUGUA